rnacentral:rRNA from 1 species
GAUGAACGCUGGCGGCGUGCCUAAUACAUGCAAGUCGAGCGAACAGACGAGGAGCUUGCUCCUUUGACGUUAGCGGCGGACGGGUGAGUAACACGUAGGUAACCUACCUAUAAGACUGGGAUAACUUCGGGAAACCGGAGCUAAUACCGGAUAAUAUUUCGAACCGCAUGGUUCGAUAGUGAAAGAUGGCUUUGCUAUCACUUAUAGAUGGACCUGCGCCGUAUUAGCUAGUUGGUAAGGUAACGGCUUACCAAGGCAACGAUACGUAGCCGACCUGAGAGGGUGAUCGGCCACACUGGAACUGAGACACGGUCCAGACUCCUACGGGAGGCAGCAGUAGGGAAUCUUCCGCAAUGGGCGAAAGCCUGACGGAGCAACGCCGCGUGAGUGAUGAUGGUCUUCGGAUCGUAAAACUCUGUUAUUAGGGAAGAACAAACGUGUAAGUAACUGUGCACGUCUUGACGGUACCUAAUCAGAAAGCCACGGCUAACUACGUG